rnacentral:rRNA from 1 species
AACGAACGCUGGCGGCAGGCUUAACACAUGCAAGUCGAACGAGAUCUUCGGAUCUAGUGGCAGACGGGUGAGGAACACGUGGGAACAUCCCUUUCAGUUCGGAAUAACGUUGGGAAACUAACGCUAAUACCGGAUACGUCCUACGGGAGAAAGAUUUAUCGCUGAAAGAUUGGCCCGCGUCUGAUUAGCUAGUUGGUGAGGUAGCGGCUCACCAAGGCUACGAUCAGUAGCUGAUCUGAGAGGAUGAUCAGCCACAUUGGGACUGAGUCACGGCCCAAACUCCUACGGGAGGCAGCAGUGGGGAAUAUUGGACAAUGGGCGCAAGCCUGAUCCAGCCAUGCCGCGUGAGUGAUGAAGGCCUUCGGGUUGUAAAGCUCUUUUGUCCGGGAAGAUAAUGACUGUACCGGAAGAAUAAGCCCCGGCAAACUUCGUGCCAGCAGUCGCCGUAA